rnacentral:lncRNA from 1 species
UAUGGUACACACAUUCACAUGGAGAUCUAACAUGGAUAGUUCAAAUUCGAAAAUGAGAAGAAGAGAUGAAAUUAUGUCGUAUCAUAGUUAAUUCAGCUUUAAUUUGGAAAAUAGAGCAUGUGAUCUCAAGUUGCAUUAGAUGGCAUUUAAAACAUGACAACAUGUUUGAUCACAACAACAUAAGUACAUCAUGCUGAUUAACUUCUUGUUGUUAUAGUAAGGACUUAGAAGUAUGAUCGUCAAACACAUGAUCGUCUACAUGCACAUUUCCCUUCUAUUGUUGUACAUCUAAAAUAAAAUGUUGUAGAGCUGUCCAUUGUAGUAGCAUGUGAGUUUAGCACCUAUUGAUGCAUGUCCAGUCGUUGCUCCUGUGAAAAUGAUACCACCCACGUCCAUACCCAAAUGAAAAAGUAGUUUAUAAUCUAAAAAAUAGAACCAAAUGACGAUAAGGAAAGAUUAGCCUAAUUUGGAAAAGAUAUACAUUCUGGUCCCUUUUCAGGUCUAACUAAUAAGGUAGCAAUGCAUGAACUACAACAUAGUUUCAUAGCUUUUCUAAAAGAGAGACAACACUACAGCAGUUAAAAAAUAUAUUGGCACAAAGGCUGAAGCUUUAGAUCUACAUAAAUGAUAUGAGCAGGUGUGUUAUAGAUAGAAGAGACAAGUAUAAUGGUUCUGGGUUGACCUGUCGAGGUAUACUACAGGUUGAAAGUUCGUGCUCAUGAAAAUAAAAGCUUGAUAAAUUUAAAAAUAUUGCAACAAAAAUCCAAUUGAAAAAUUCUAGUAGGUUAAACUUGAAUAUAAUAUGUAGGUUUUGUAGGUACUAAUAUAGAUCUAGAAAAUACAAUACAUUUAGGAUGUGAUCCUGCCGGUGAUGUUGUGGGCUGAGCAACCGACUUCUCUGUUCUGCUCUUGUGAUUGCGCACCAAGAAGGUUUGUGUCGGCGGCUCUGUGCAUUGCCGAAUUUUGUUGUUUCACUCGUAUCAAUGAAAUGAUACGUAAUCUUUGUAUAUUCGUGAAAAUACAAUGAAAAGACCCAGGCUGCGCAUUAAGGAGCAUAUAUCUUCCAGGUUCAGGACAGAAACAAUGUGGAGUGAACUGAAAAUAGUGAAAAGCAGUCUCCUAGUAGAUGCGGAAACACCAUUAUAGACUUUUAUUGUCAGUUGGACCUUUCUUGCCAAUUUGGAAAUAAAAAAUCUACCCUCGGACAAUCACCAAGGGAAAGCACACCUUAGUCGCUACCAUUAUGAUUGUAUUUGUGGUACUGUUGUUCAAUGCGGGAUAUGGAGAAAAACAAUGUAAUAUCAAACUUUUGUCAUGGAAAAGGAUGACAACAAACUAACUGCAGACAUUGUUACGGAAUCAUCAUAAUGUGCAAUAUAAAAAGCAUGUUAAAUGGUUGAAGGUGAUAACCUUCAUAAAGCAAACUUGCAUAAGUAGCUGCAUAUUUCCUAUGACAUGUGUUGGAGAAGUGCAGAAUAUAAGAGUAGUCUUUCACAGUACAGUAAUUUUAUCAAGUUUGUUAUUUCUUUUCUGCAUAUAAAAUAAAUGGUGCAAAACUCUUGCUUGGAUUUUCACAGAAACGGUAGCUGAAGAAACAUACUGAAGAAAUCGCUGUCAUGAUAACUACAGUAAGAAAUAUCUUUCCAGAUCCCGUUGAUGCAUGGUCUGUCAUCAAUUCAAUAUCAUAAAUUCUGUUUGUAAUUGGUACUACACUUUUCAAGUUGUUUACGACAUUCCUCGAUUACUCAAGUCAAAUGGUUUUAUUUAAGUACCUAUAAGGAAAUAUUAAAGAAAUUGCAAGCAAUUGUGAUAGCCAUUGAUGAAGAACGUUUUCCCCUAGGUGAACUAUACCAUUCAUUGAUGAUGAGGUACCAUCAAGAUGUCUCGUCUACUAACUUAGCAUCUAGAUUACAACACAUAAAGCAUCUAAUUACUAUGAAAUACAGCCAAAAUAUUUAUCAAUAGAUAUUCAGGAAAUUUCCUGAUGCAAUGUAUGUGGACUUAUGUUGCUUACUUGGACACAUGGAAAUAAUUAUUAGUUUUCUUGAAUUCCAUUUGUGAGAGAAGGAAUUUGUUAGAAAACUCGAUUUGGUAAAAUGACACUAACUUUCGCUCAAUCUGCAGAACAAAAUAUAAUUGUAGGCUCGUACCACAGAGAUUAUCACUCUGAAUUAGACUGAAGAAACAUUUUGAUAGACCAUUUUGAUAUGUACCAGUAGUAUAUUUGAUAGACCAAUAUACCUUGAUUAAUCCGAUGAUAUCGUUAUGCACCCAUCUUCUGAAUUAGUACUAUUAAAUUUAAGGAUCAAUGUCAAAGACCAAUAUUUACUCGUACCUGCAAAAAAUUCACGAUAGAGAAAAUAAAUAUAAGAGUAAUCCAAAUUAGUCAAGCCAUUAACAAAGAAUAAAUCUAUGCAAUUAGAGUAUUUCCUAAAAGAAAGUAAUUUAUAGGUUUCAUAUGAAGGGAUGUACAUGCACCAGAUAUUUGCGAAAUGACUAAGCACUAUCAGGUUUGAGGUAUGGAUGACUGAAGAAAAAGCAAAACCUCUGGAUUGAGUAAGCCAUGGAAUCGGUCAUUUACAGUAAGUUCUCUAUGGAGUUGGAAUUUCACUAACCAUAUCUGCGGCCUGCACUAUAAAUUAUUGUAGGGACUGAAGACAAUCAUAAACUUAGUUGAGGAAAUGUGUUAAUAUCAAUGCGUAUUAUGCCACCAUAAAUCUGAAUUACACGGAGAUCAAUCAUUCGAAAACCAAGGAUCCUGCAUCACAGACCGUUGUCUGGGCUACAGCAACAGUAUGGAUAAGCGAUACAUCAUACUUUCUCCAAUUAAUAACACGGAAAUAAUGGUGAGCAAAAUAAACAACAAAUAACCAACCGAGGAAGGUUGAUAAUUUGCAAAGCAUGACCUGUAGGUUACUGAACGGCUAGAGGUAGGUGGUGAAGUGGCCAAGCAGUGGUGGUGGUGUUCACUGUGAUAAAAAUCACACUAUCAAAUAACAUGAGAAGCGAAUUUAGUCUGAGUUAUGUGAGCAGUGAUGUCAUUUCUUUCCCAACUUUUAUGACAGUUUACUAUCACGGUUGCAACCACAUAAUGAAAUUUCAUUGUAUCAUUUUGAAAAAUAGUAGAGAAAAUUAGAUGAAGAAAAAUGGCAGCAAUAGUACCUGAAUUCAACAGACUUCAGCCCUUGCAUGCCAAAAGAAAAAUUGCAGCAACAGUAUGUUUCCUGCUAGGGCACUACUUAAUAGCAUGAUAAAAUCUCAGUAAUAGGAAAUUAUUAUAAACAGAUCUAGGACAUGUAUGUUCGCAUGCAGGCUAUAUGCGAUCAAUUAUUUUGCAUCUUCUUGUAGAAAUUUAUCACUAUGCACAAUUUGCAAAUAAAAUAAACUAUAGGAUUGUACAUAGGCAACAUACAUCUACCUGUACCUUGAAGCUUUCCUAAACUUUUCAGGCUUGUCCACCUCAAUCAAUAUAACUGUAGCAAGGGGUUCAUUCUGGUGGGCAUCUUGCGUCGAGGGCAUGUGGAAUGCCCAGUAUCGUCCAUGGUGGUGGCCAACUAAAUUAAUUCAAACUACCAUCGGUAUGGCUCUCCCAUCAAACAAUAUUCAUCACGGGAUAUAUUCAUGUAAGAUCAAAAAUAGAUGCAUGAUUGCAGCGUACUUAGGACAUGGAAGCUAAGGAGAUUCAAAGGUUACAAAGAAAGAUACUAGGGAGAGACAGAGAGGAAGGAUUGAUUUCAGAUUUCCAUUCACUUGGAUAUCAUAACGUACCUUUGGGGCAGAGGCGAUUCAAUGGUUGGAGAGGAAGGGCAUCAAGAAGAUACUGCUUGGAUCUUUAUUAGAAGGAAUCCCGGUGUGGAAACUGGAGAGGAGGAGGAGCGGCG